rnacentral:rRNA from 1 species
CCUACGGGUGGCUGCAGUGAGGAAUAUUGGUCAAUGGACGAGAGUCUGAACCAGCCACGUAGCGUGAAGGAUGACUGCCCUAUGGGUUGUAAACUUCUUUUAUAUGGGAGUAAACUGUUCCACGUGUGGGAUUUUGUAUGUAUCAUACGAAUAAGGAUCGGCUAACUCCGUGCCAGCAGCCGCGGUAAUACGGAGGAUCCGAGCGUUAUCCGGAUUUAUUGGGUUUAAAGGGCGUGUAGGUGGUUUGUUAAGUCAGUUGUGAACGUUGGCGGCUCAACCGAAGAAUUGCAGUUGAAACUGGCAGUCUUGAGUACAGUAGAGGUGAGCGGAAUUCGUGGUGUAGCGGUGAAAUGCUUAGAUAUCACGAAGAACUCCGAUUGCGAAGGCAGCUCACUGGACUGCAACUGACACUGAGGCUCGAAAGUGUGGGUAGCAAACAGGAUUAGAUACCCGUGUAGUC